CACAGUAAAAUCUCCAGUGUUGAAAUCCCAGUGUUAAGGACUUUUAGAGUAAAGAGUUAAAGUUGUGGUGUUGAAUUUCAAACGAUUAACACUAGCUAGUGUAAACGGCACCCUCUUGCGGUGUUAACACGGAAAGUAACCCAUAUUUAACACUGUUGAGUGUUAUUAAUAACAUCCGGGACAUUUUCUCGUGUGCGCGCAUAACCCAUCUGAAAUAUUUUUCAAAGACGCCAUUUUCUUUGCUCGCGAUGCGAAGUGCAUAUGGAAUUAAAACAGCGAAAUAAAAGACAUUUCCUUUCACUCGCAACGCGGAACAGACGAGGGCUUUUUUUCGAAACGGGAAAAUCCGAAAAGCGAUAUUUCAUUUCACCAGCGAAGCGAAGUAGACAGGGAAGUUGGUUUUAACAAGGAAAACACCGACAGUAACAAUUUGAAUUGCUCUGCAGUGCGCAGAUGCGGAGUUCACUAGGAAACACCAGAAGUAAGUUAACCGUUUUAAAUCUUACCUCAUUUAAAAUGUGUUUUAUAACGUCAUAUUAUUUAUAGUGAUAUCUGUCUGCUGUAAGUUACACUCCUAAACUUUUUCUCAAAGAUAUUUUCUUUCACUCGCGAUGCUCUGGAGGAGAUGGGGAAGUUGGUUUUAACAAAGAAAACACCAAAAAUGGUUCAUGCUGGCUUAACAGAAAAAUCAAAAGGAGAUGAUUUGCUUGAAGAGUAUGAAGCCACCAAUAUAUGAGAGUUGUCCAACCUCAACGCAGAGAGAUCAGUAUGCACUUGGAAUUGUGACUGUCUCUGUCGUUAGAAGACCCAUUUUCUAGGGAAGGUGUGUGAUGCUGCAAAUAGGAGUGGAUAUCUUGCUUGGCUGAAAACUGCUGAGAAACGCAUCUUGUCGUGCUGAAAAAAAAGAAGUCUAGAAGAGAGAAAAAGACUAUUCUCUCCAAGGAGGUCCAAACACAGACAUUGAUUAGUGAGCAUUAACAUGUAUUCUGCAUUUAUGGUAAUGAAUGGAAUGCUGUUGUUUAACCUGAUAAAUGUCAGCAUUAUAAAUCUUAUGACAUUAAGAGUACAUAUGGACCAAAUAAGAAUGUUUUUUGUGUCUUUGCACUGAUUUGCUUUGACAUUAUGAUGUUUAAUUGUUGUAAGGCCAUGCUCUUUACAUUGAAUUUUAGAAUUUUACAUUUAGAAUUUAUUUAUUUGUUUUAUUUUGAAUUGCUUUGAAUUGAAACAUUGAAAGUGAAGACAUUUUGGUGCAGGGAAAAAAAUUACAAUGUUUCAAUAAAAUAAAUAAAUGUAAAC
ensembl:lncRNA